rnacentral:misc_RNA from 1 species
GUUUCUUGAAACUUUGUCUGUCUAUAUAUGCUUUGCCUCCAUUGAACCAUUGUUGUUUACUAGACCAGACCACAACAAAGAUUGUUCGUUCCUUCUCUGCUCAAGCAACUACCAUGCCUUUUCUCAUCGGAGAUACUCGACGGAUCUUGUUCUUAGACCAUGAAAAGAUCAAGGCCAAGUAUGGAUGCAAGUCCAGCAUCAUCUUCAUCAUCAGUUCUGAAUCCGCCCACCAUAAAAAACUGAUGUUGGAACCAGGCGUUCGGAUAGCCACACAGGUCAUCCCCAUCAUCACUCCUAAUCUACGCGUCGAUGAACAAGAUUUUCUGGCUUGCACCAACGAGGAGGAAGCCUAUUCAAAGAUUUCUGACUUGGUGGCUUCUUUGGAUAUCAACCCCAGUGAUAAACAGAGCAUUGGCUAUAGUUUAAUCAAGCAGGCACGAAUACUUUCACGCAGAAAUUCCUCAUCAGGUACCAAGUUGAUGAUAAAAGUGGAGAUGCAUUUGGAAACAGAAUAUUGGUGGCAAGGCACAGUUCCUGCUACUUGCUCAUCUAUCGCGAAUUUGGAAAAAGGAAGACUUGCAGAUUUUGCCGGGGAGGAGCAGUGUGGUGAGAAAAGUUGCCCCAUCUGCUUGGAGGAGUUUCAGGUGCUGUCUCAGGUUAAGCGCAUGCCUUGUUUGCAUAUAUUUCAUGACCAGUGCAUUGAUCAGUGGCUGAACAAGAGCCAUUACUGCCCAACUUGCCGCUUUGAGAUGCCAGCUUCAUGUGUCAAUUUCAUGCACUAGAGAUUUAUUAUUUAUCCUUGUAAUAUGUAGUAAUUUUUUUUUUCUGAUUUUUAUCGGUCAAACUGAUCUCAGUAACUGUUAAAUAUCAUCUAAACAAACUGUCCCUAAU